rnacentral:rRNA from 1 species
GACGAACGCUGGCGGCGUGCUUAACACAUGCAAGUCGAACGAUGAAGCCUUCGGGUGGAUUAGUGGCGAACGGGUGAGUAACACGUGGGUGAUCUGCCCUGCACUUUGGGAUAAGCCUGGGAAACUGGGUCUAAUACCGAAUAUGAUCAUGCUCUCCAUGGGGUGUGGUGGAAAGCUUUUGCGGUGUGGGUUGGGCCCGCGGCCUAUCAGCUUGUUGGUGGGGUAAUGGCCUACCAAGGCGACGACGGGUAGCCGGCCUGAGAGGGUGACCGGCCACACUGGGACUGAGAUACGGCCCAGCCGCCUACGGGGGGCAGCAGUGGGGAAUAUUGCACAAUGGUCGCAAGCCUGAUGCAGCGACGCCGCGUGAGGGAUGACGGCCUUCUGGUUGUAAACCUCUUUCAGCAGGGACGAAGCGAAAGUGACGGUACCUGCAGAAGAAGGACCGGCCAACUACGUGCCAGCCGCCGCGGUAA